UGAGCUGGCCGAGGCAGUCGCUGUAUCUUUGAUGCAGAGGAAAGUCCGGGCUCCGAGGGUAAGAUGCCAGGUAAUGCCUGGGAGGCGUGAGCCUACGGAAAGUGCCACAGAAAAUAAACUACCUAGUGUGCAAACAUUAGGAAAAGGUGAAAAGGUGCGGUAAGAGCGCACCGCAUUUCUGGUAACAGAAAUGGCAAGGUAAACCCCAUCCGGAGCAAGGCCAAAUAGGAGCUUAUGCGUUUACUCGCAAUAGUGUGACCCGCACUGAGCUCGGGUAGGUCGCUUGAGGUAUUCGGUGACGGAUAUCCCAGAUUAAUGACUGUUCACGACAGAACCCGGCUUAUUGGCUGGCUCAUUUU
rnacentral:RNase_P_RNA from 2 species